GACAAGAAGUCGGUCGACCGAUUAUACUGUUAACAAACUUCCAGGAGAUGAGGUCAGAUCUCCAGACCAGUUCUGCAGACUUCGGUAUCCAGAGCACAACAUGACAGCAAAGAACAUACCUGACCUUGCUGAAGGAGUAACGCUGAAAGACUGCAUAAUUGUGUGCCAGCUUCCACCCGAGGACCAAAAACUUUUCCUCUACGAUUCCCCUGAUGGUUUAACCUGCGAAGCAAGCACAGGCAAGGUUUGCGCGAACAAAGAAUGCAAACAUUACAGUCAACCCUAGACUGCACUCUUCGUAAAGACAUGACUCCAACGCAGUGAUGCAUGGUACGAUCAUUCAAGUCACGCCAACUGUUAACUACAGGCAACAAGCAUUACAAUCAUCACUGACAAAAGAGUUCUUCAUUUAGCGUCACUCAAUAAA